CCCGGUCCUGGCCUCGCCGGCCACCACUUGGCCCAUGCGGUCGCGGCCACUCCCCACUUCGCCCCCAGCGCCGCCGGCCCCUGUCACUUUCCCCGUCGCUACCGUAGGCCAGUCGGCGCCCGUCACCACCUCGCCGCCGGCCCCGGCCUCGCUGGCUGCCAUCUUGCCCGCCGGCCCCGACCUCAUCGCCCGUCGACCCCGACCUCGUCGCUCGUCGCCACCGACGGCCUCCCCGCCCCGUCGCUCGUCGUCCCAGGCAGCCUCCGUGCCUCGUCGCCCCCGCCGGCCUCCGGCGGUCCCGGCCCCGUCACCCCCGCAGGCCUCCACCGGCCUCGACCUCCGGCACCGGCCCGGCCUUGAGGAGCGGCGGCAGCUCCUCAGGCAUCAAUGGUGGCGUCGGUGUGCACUAUUCUUGGAGAAAGAAAGGAGUAGGGAGAGGUGUGCGGCUGCUGGUUGCUGCUGCUCCGGCCACCACGGGCACAGGAGAAAGGACAGGGGACGCUCGCUGGGAGGCGGUGGCAUAGAUCGAACUCAAGAUGGCUGCACGUGUUAGAUCUCGUGCUGCUAUUGUGAAAUAUAUUGUCUAAAUAGAGUAAUGAUGUAUUCUGUUUUGCCUUGGAUCAGCAAGUAGUGAUGUAUUAUGUGUAAAUAUAGUAAUUUUGUAUUUAAAAAUUUGUUCAUUCAUCAUUGAUCUUCGAACAAAGUGUCGAUGGAUACUGUGGCGUUUGUUGUUGUCUGGUAGUUACUUGUAGCCUUUGCACUUAGACUGUUAGUUAAGAUUACUAGUCGCCAACCCGUGCCAUUGCACGGGCUAGUAAGUUCAUAUUCUGUACUUCUUGUUUUAUACGAAGAUUUCGCUUCCUUGCAGGGCUAAUUGUGUGUUCAUUGUAAUUGUUUUAUUGGACUUUUUUUAUAAGUUGUUGUGUUAAAUUAGUUUUCAAAAGUUGAUGCUAUAUUCAGAAAGAUAAUAUUGAAAU
rnacentral:lncRNA from 1 species